rfam:Bhargavaea cecembensis DSE10 contig000012, whole genome shotgun sequence.
GGCGGUGUAGCUCAGCUGGCUAGAGCGUACGGUUCAUACCCGUAAGGUCGGGGGUUCGAUCCCCUCCGCCGCCA